rnacentral:rRNA from 1 species
CCUACGGGAGGCUGCAGUGGGGAAUAUUGCACAAUGGGCGCAAGCCUGAUGCAGCCAUGCCGCGUGUGUGAAGAAGGCCUUCGGGUUGUAAAGCACUUUCAGCGGGGAGGAAGGCGGUGAGGUUAAUAACCUCAUCGAUUGACGUUACCCGCAGAAGAAGCACCGGCUAACUCCGUGCCAGCAGCCGCGGUAAUACGGAGGGUGCAAGCGUUAAUCGGAAUUACUGGGCGUAAAGCGCACGCAGGCGGUCUGUCAAGUCGGAUGUGAAAUCCCCGGGCUCAACCUGGGAACUGCAUUCGAAACUGGCAGGCUUGGGGCUUGAAGAGGGGGGGAGAAUUCCAGGUGUAGCGGUGAAAUGCGUAGAGAUCUGGAGGAAUACCGGUUGCGGAGGCGGCCCCCCUGACAAAGACUGACGCUCAGGUGCGAAAGCGUGGGGAGCAAACAGGAUUAGAUACCCCGGUAGUC